AUGGCAAUGUCUUGGACACGAGCAUUGAAGCAUGGAGUUACUCCAAGGGAUGCAGCUCAACUGGUCGGGAUAAGAGGCUUUGCAGCUCAGGCCAAGGGAAAGAAGGGUGGGAAAGGUGGUGCGGCUGAUGCUAAACCUGUGCUCAGCAAAGAAAUGAAGAGUACAACUGUGUUUGGGGCAAAUAUCCUGAAGGAGGGUUCUGACCCGAAGAUCCAACCAGAUUCGGAGUACCCUGACUGGCUGUGGCACCUGGUUGACAAGCGUCCUGUGCUGAGCGAGCUGCGGAGGAAAGAUGCCAAGACACUGCCUUAUGAAGACCUGAAGCGUUUCGUCAAGUUGGACAACCGGGCUAGGAUCAAGGAAAACAAUGCUCUCACUGCUAAGAACUGA
rnacentral:rRNA from 1 species